CCAUCACACGAAGACUUCAGUUUGGCGUCAUACAAGACAGGUUGACAAAAGACCAGCUGUGAGAUUUACUACCAAAUCAGCCUGCAGAUCAACAUACAGACUAGCCACAUUAACACUCUACAAAACAGUGAGGACGCCGACUGUUGACCUGGGCCUGGAAUUGUGACAGUGAUUUCGAGCGAAAACAUCCUUAGUUGACUAAUCGGU